GAAGGAUGGCAAACCUCCGGUUAAACCGAAAGGUAGUUGCUACAAAGACCUAAACUGGAGAAAAUCUGCAGAUGCUGGAAAUCCAAAGUAACACACACAAAAUGCUGGAGGAACACAGCAGGUGUAGUUAUUCCCAAAUGUAAAAGUCAA